rnacentral:rRNA from 1 species
UUCGCCCUUUUCCGGUUGAUCCUGCCGGACCCCACUGCUAUCGAGGUGGGACUAAGCCAUGCUAGUCGAACGACCAGAACUAUGUCUGGGAGUGGCGAACUGCUCAGUAACACGUAGCUAACCUACCCUUAGGACAGAGAUAACCCCGGGAAACUGGGGCUAAUAUCUGAUAGGUGUGAUGUCCUGGAAUGGUAUUACGCCCAAUUGUGUUAACAGCAUGUUGUUAACACGCCUAAGGAUGGGGCUGCGGCCGAUCAGGCAGUUGGUGAGGUAACGGCUCACCAAACCUUUGACCGGUACGGGCCAUGAGAGUGGUAGCCCGGAGAUGGGCACUGAGACAAGGGCCCAGGCCCUACGGGGCGCAGCAGGCGCGAAAUCUCCUCAAUGCACACACGUGCGAAGGGGUUACCUCGAGUGCUAUCUGAAGAAGGUGGCUUUUACAUUGUUUAACUAGCUAUGUGAAUAAGAGGGGGGCAAGACUGGUGUCAGCCGCCGCGGUAACACCAGCCCCUCGAGUGGUGGGGAUGAUUAUUUGGCCUAAAGCGUCCGUAGCCGGCUUUGUAAGUCUCCCGUUAAAUCCAGCGUCUCAGGCGUUGGUCUGCGAGAGAUACUGCUCAGCUAGAGGGCGGGAG